CUGAGUUGACUCAAAUAUCACAACACUAGAGCAGAAACUGUAAACGAUAAUGUCGUUGUGUCGGAAAUAUUUAAACUUUAUAGCCUUGCUAUCUACAAUAGGACUACUUUACAUCUUGUACAAAGCCUAUGUACGAUUAGAUGCCGCAAAUUCAAUUCGCUCGUUUCCAAACACAGCUGAUGAAUAUGCACGUUCAGAAUAUAAAGUCAGUGUCAUCGUAAACUAUACUUUGCCUCGACGGCUAUCAGCUAUCACGAAUGAUACACACUGUCCGGACGGAUUUUGGAAAGAUGAUGAGCUAAAGUGGGAAAAUUCAACGGCCAUUCCAACACAAAUUGCAGAGUAUGAACAGUUUGUUAAAGGUAGAAUGUAUUACUGUAUCUGUCUUUUUAUUGUACAUAAUAAUGUCAGAAUAUAUGACAUUGCGCCUGUUUGUUUAUUAAUAAAGGAAUAUCCAAGUUAACAUUUUGUGACAAAAGAAACAAGCUCAACAACAUAAUGCAAGAAAUCAAUCAGGUUACAUAAUUCCUAAGAAUUGUAAAUAAAAACUUGUAAGGAUUAACAAAUGUUUCUUAUAAAACAGUCUAUGUACUCUCGAAAUCGAGGAACAUUUCAGAAUUUCUCAGAACGUAAACAACAGGUAUAAAAAAACACCUUUCAAGAACAUUUCCUGUGUUAGAGUCUGCUGAAAAUCAAUUUAUUUUUCGUUCUAUUAUUAUCACUAUAUUAUAAUUGUAUUUCAUCUGUUUAAAGAUGCACUCUUACUCCCAAAUACGAUUUACCACAAUUAAUACCAUUGUUUUAAUAUUCAAAAAAGGAUGAAUGAAUGUCGAAAACAAUGGUUCUUUAUUAAAAUUUACCUUUUGCGUUUUAUCUUUAUUUUGGAUUGUUGGGAUUAGAGUGAGGUUUGUGCACUUAAACCUGUUUAAACCCCCAGUUAAUUAACAUUUUACUGACCGUUCUAAGGCAGUACCUAACAAUCCUUGAUAAACAUACCUAGUUUUUAAUAAAUAGAAUGUAUGCAUUAUGCUGCUUGUGGAGUUUUGUGCUGUUCUGCCAUGUUUCGUGUUUGUGAUUUUAUGUUAUAUGUCUUAGGCGUUUAAUAAUUAUGCGUUUUCAGCUAUUAAAUACUCGCUAACAAUCUUUUAAUCAGAAUUUAAUAUUUCCGUUAGUGCAUUAUUUAGUUAGAAGUUUAAGGUUAGUCAGUCAAAAUUUAAGUUGUUUAUACAUGUGUAUGUAUUGAUUUUGAAUAAAAGUGUCACUUUAA